CAUCAUCGUGUUACAUUCAAUCUUAUCAUUCAAAUUCAUUGGAACUAAUUAAGCAACUUACUGUCCAUAUUAAAACCAAACUAUUACACCAAUGUAACAAUUGUAUAUAAAAAAAAUGAUUUAAUUCAAACUACAAAGGGAACACCUAGCUAUAAAAAUAAGGAACAGGCAAUCAGUACAAAAUUUAUUGUCUCCUUUAUGACUAAUUUUUGGUGAUAGCGAUCGUAUACCGCUCUUUCAUUAGUUUAAUCCGAUAAAGCCAUAUCAAUUUGCAAAAAUAAUUACCUNNNNNNNNNNNNNNNNNNNNNNNNNAAUCUGCACAUUUAAGUUGACACCUUAAACUAAAGAUGACAAUGUUACCAACCGCCCCAUCUUUUACUCCCCAAAUUUCAUACACAGCAAUUAGCAGAACCCCACAUACCAUAUACAAGUAAAAUGUACAAAGGCUAUCGUGUAUAUGUGGACAAAGAUCAAUCUUGUGUUUUGUUUACUUAUUUACUACUUGUCUCCAUCAUCGUUCGUUGAUUAUCUGCCUUUUACCUUAACCUCCUUUUCUUUUUGUAUGCAAAACACGAAAUCGGCAACUUCAAUCUAGACGCAAGUAAAACUCAUGGAGCAAGAAAAAUAGAGAAGUAUCGGCUGAUGAUGUUACAAAAUAUAAGAAUGAGAGUUCAGGUUACAAGGGCAGAUCUAAAUUGGAAAACCAUUUAUGAGCGACAAUUAAGUUGACAAAGUUAAAGCCCACUAUUCAAAUCGUCCGCACCUUUGAGAGGGCAGUUCACAAAACAUACAUCAUGAACCACACAUAGACACAUCUGAAUUUCAUAGAAGAAUAAAGAAGAUGGAUUAAAAUAAAAAUCCUACAAGUUUAUAGAGGUAUGUACCUAAAUGCUUGGGCAACAGUACUCCAAAAAGAAACCAAAUGAAAGCAAGAAUGAAGGAUGGAGAUCAACAGAAACAGCACAGCAAAAUCGCAACGCAGCAACAAUACUCCCACACGUCUACAGAUAUUGAGAUUUAGACAGCAAAGUUGUAUUUUCUGUCCUCAAAUGCUUGAUCUGAGAAAGCAUGUCCUUCACAAAUCGAGCAGUUUCAUUUUGUCAGGCCCCGUACCUGGGGGCGAGACCGGCACCUAGUGCCUCACCUAUCCCUGCGUACCAACUUGCAACUAAGGGACUCUGAACAUAUGAUGUCAUACUUUAGCCAUAGGCCACAUUGCAAGAUAACUACGAAUGCUGACUAAAUGUCAAUAUAAAACUGGGCUGACAAGGCCGUCAUAACUAUUACAGCUGACAAACCAACCAAAUAUACAUACAACGCCUGCAAGUCCAACAUAUUGGACUAACUGACAGGAUAUGUCUACAAGCCUCUACUGAUGGAUGUACUAUGAUCGGAACAGCUCCCCGACCUACUCAUAACAUAUAUACAUAUAUAUACAAGAUGUAUAUAAGGCUCUAAACCUGGAAACUCCGAAAGGCAUGGAGCUUACUGAUCAAGCUGAACUUGGGCAAAACUUAUUGAAGAGGCCUACCCGUCUGUCUGUCUGACCUGCACCCAUGAAAUGCAGCGCCCCCAAAAAGGGACGCCAGUACGAAAUAAUGUACUGAGUAUGUAAGACAAUAUACUGAAAGCUGAAAUUGAACUGAUAAUAUAAUAACUGCAAGUAGCUGGAAGUCAAAAAUAAUCUGAAGAUAUGCUUAUCUGCUGAUACUGACUCAACUCUCUCAAUAUAGUAAGUAAAAUAGUUGUCCAGCCCUAUAAGGCUCGGUAUAUAUAUAACUGCUCUGCCGUAGUAGGCUCGCUCAUAGUCGCUCGACCAUACUAGGCUCUGUAUCUCGACCAAUUGGGCUCGCUCAUAAGCGCUCGACCACAGUAGGUUCGGUAUAUAUAUAUAACUGCUUCGCCGUAGUAGGCUCGCUCAUAGGCGCUCGACCAUACUAGGCUCUGUAUCUCGACCAACUGGGCUCGCUCAUAAGUGCUCGACCAUAGUAGGCUCGGUAUAUAACUUACCAUCUGAUUAGAGGUUGCCCAAUAGAGGCCUGCCCAUCGAUUAUAGCUCGAUGGUAAUGAAAAUACUUUAAUAAUGUAUAUAUAAAUUAUUUGCUCUCUUGACUAGAAGAAGGAAAUACUCAAUUGAAUAUGAAGCCCCGAUAAAGAGAAUAGUGUAACUUACAGAACUAGAAAAAUAUACAUAAAUUCUGGGAUAAGGAUUUUUCUUUAUGCUUCAUUUUUCAAACGCGUGUAAUUACGAGAUCAUGUCAAAAUGAAAGAAAGGUCUAGCCUUAACAUACCUGAGUCGAUUCUCUUGACAAUCCCUCUAACAUACAUUAAUUGCGACAAAAUACGGAACAAAUCAUAUGAAAAGCUUGAAGCAAGUACAAAUUCUCGGAAGAAAAUGACCCGGAACACUGACGAAACCUAACCCGGCUAGGAUAGCAGUGGAACUUGACAAACACCCGAGAAAUUGCACAACCAACUUUAGUCAGUACCACACAAAUUCCAUCACAGAGAACCUUUUUCCAACAUUGGCUAAUGAAUUUUGACUUGGUACCACAUGGGAAGCCUCACAAAACAGUAUAAUAUCGUAGUACUGAUGCUCAUGCUUUCUUAUGCAAAUUUGCUAGAAAGAAAGAAGAGGUCUUUUAACGUUGAAGAAUUAUCCCUUAUUAACUUUUGAGGCACUGCUCACAAAAGCAUUUCUUAUAAGUAAAAAAAUGAUAGCUAUCCACAUUUACGUGGUGAACUCAUUAGUUCUCUAGAGAUCUCAAUUAGUAUAGUCGACUGUCCUAGCCUUGCCACCUUUCCCUUCAAUUCAUGAGUCACACUCUUGGCAUGGAAGGGCUGCCACGUAAUUCCCUUGUUGGGAUUUAAACUUUAUCCAAUAAUCAAUUAGGUAAUAUCCCGCUACUCGAUAAUUAAUCAAUUACCCGUAUAAUUAAGAAUUGUCUCAAAUUAAUUAAAUUUUUUUUUAUUCUUAAUACGCUUUAUACACCUCACUAACAUGUUCACGCGGUACCAUAUAAAAUUAAUAUAUACACUAUUAUUUCUUUAAAAUAUCCAUGUAAAAAUACAUAUAUUUCUCAACUUAUAAUUUUCUAAUCUCAUAUAAAGAGUAAAAUUUUCGUACGCUUAAUUCUUAAAAUGGUAAAAUGUUAACUUCUUUUCUUGUGAGAAAAUAAUUUAUAUUUUUACAAUAAAGAAAAUCUCAUAAACUUUCUCAUAUUAUGAGUAUAAUUUAAAACAUAUUCAAAAGUUGUAAUAUUAAUAAAAAUAUAAAAUUAUAUCUUUCAAACUACUUUUUUUUCUCUAUAAAAAUAUUCCACUCAAAAUACCAUAUCAAAUAUAUAUAUCCUUUUCGGUCUUUAUUAUUCCUAUUUUUUGUAGUCCUGUUUUAAAAUUGUAUAAUUUUAACAGAAUAAUACUCUAAUAGUAUUACUUUUAGAAAUUAAUAAAAAGCUAGAUAAAAUUAUUAAAGAAAAGGAGAUAAAGACUGAAAUCCUAAAAGUAGACGAUUUAAUGGAACAAUUAAAAAGAGUUGAAAUACCACCGCAAAAAAAUAAAAUUAAAAUAAGAAAACCACAAAAAUGGACAUUUUUCCAGGUGGGUCAAGAACAACAAACCAAGAGAGAUCACGAAUAAGUUUUUCAGAUAAUAGAAUAGGUAAUAAUAUGUUAGCUAGAAUUCUAACUAGAAAAAAGACAAGAAGAAAAUCAGAAAUUGGAUGAAAUAAUAGAUAUAGACAAAGAUAUACAAAUCUUUCAACAAAAUCAACUAAGGUUACUCAAUCCGAGAAUACUAUAUAAUACAGGAUAUUUUUCAAAUAACUCUCGACUAUAUAGACAUUAUACAAAAGAGCAAUUAUCAGCUAUAGGAAAUAAGGUUGCAACAUUAAAUUUAAUUAAUCCAGAAUCAGUAAGACAAAUUAAAAAUUAUAAAAAGAAUUCGCAUAUUGGAUUAAUACUAAUCGGAUUAAAAGGACUAACUAGAAAGAAUUUAGGAACUAAAGUACUAAUAGUAGUAUAUGAUGAUAGAUGGUCAGAUCAAAAGAAAUCUAUAAUAGGUUUAACAGAAGUAGACAUGACAAAUAAUGGAGGAAUAUUUUACAUUAGCCCAGAUUUCAUGAUAAAUCUAGCAGAAUUUGGAAAAAAUAUCAAAAUAGGUAUACAGACUAAGGGAUAUGAAGAAAUGAAUAAUGGAAAUAAUUUACUGAUAUGUGUAAGUUUCAUAGGAAAAAUGGCAACAAAUAGUAAUACAAAAUUUAAAAUUAAGGUAGACGAUGUAGUCGAAGUAAUGAGAAAUAAAGGAAUAAAAUUAAUAAAACCUAUUAAGAUAAACCCAGAAGAAUAUGCUGGAUUAGAAUGGAAUCUAGAAGAUUUCGCAAAGCCAAAAAUAUUCAAACCAGAAUCUCAUUUAAUGUAUACAAACUCUAAAGGAAAAACAUCAAUUAGGUUUACCAAUUAUAACUAUUCUACCCAAAAAGAAAUAGAUGAUGGAACUGAAAGUACGAUGGAAGAUAAUGAUACUGAAUUUAUGAAUAUUGAAAUAAUACAAGACGAAUUCGAAGUAGACAUAGCAUUAAAAAAAUCAAGAAUGGUAAUAAACUACAAUUGUAUGAGAAGGGUGUGCAUUCUCCAAUGAAUGUAGCAAGAUCCACUGUAUCGGAUAAUGAUACAGCUAGUCCAGUUCAAACGGUAACCAGUAAAGACACAUCAAAUCCGUUUAUGGCUGUCACUUUGCCAAAAAGUAAAGAUGAAGGUCCAUCGAGAAGAAGACUACUCAGAACUUUAACACAGGAGAAGCGUUAAAAAAGAAGGGUAUAAUUUCAAAAAAUGAAAAAAUAGAAAAUAUAAUCAAACAGACAUUAGAAAACAUUUUUCAAGAAAAGGAAGAACAAGACAAACACAUGGUUAAGAAUCCAAGUCCAAAUCCAGAAAGGACCCAAAGUUCAGGAGAAGAUGAUAACUAUGAAGACAACCUAAAUUAUCAAGAUGCUCAAGAUCCAUAUAAAGACGAGUCAGAAAUGAGUUUUGAUACAAUAGUUAUACAUAAUUUAGACACAUAAAAGCAAAGUCUUAGUUAAACAGCAAGUAAAAGAGCACCAAAGACAAAGGAAAAAUGACAAGGCUGGUAUACAGAGCAAUAAUGUUGGCAUACCAAUGAGAAAAACAAGAAAGUAAAGAAGAUGUGACAGAAAGAAAUGCUAGCUAUGCUAAAAGACAAAAGUGACAAGUGACAUAAAGUAGAGAAGAUGUGACAAGAGGUAAUGUUAGUUGUGCUAAAAGACAAGUUAAAAUUUUGAGUGGAAGAAAAAGUUACGAACACGAAAGGAAUCUCCGACCAAGCCAUGUGAAGAUGAGGCCCAAUGAAGUACCCUGCAAGUAUGGACAAGAUAGAUUUCGAAAGAGUUUGGAAUUUAUUUUUCAAAUCCGUUCAAAAAUUUAGCUAUAAAAGGGAGAAGAAAGAAGAAGAAAAACACUUUGAAAAAAAAACCCAUCCAACCAACUUUUCAUCAACCAAAAUUCCUCUUCCNAAACACUUNNNNNNNNNNNNNNNAUAAAUAAGUCUUUAUGCUUAUGUGUGAUCGUUUUUAAUUCUCAAAGCUCAAUAGACUUUUUCGAGUUUCCCGAAAGGGAAAUCUCUCUCCUAUAAGCAUGUAAGUUACUCACCUUUAUCUAAAUUAUGUUUCUGCUAGAUACUUACCCCUAUUUAUUUUAAAAAUUUUUGUUAUUCUGUAUAGUUUUAUGUUUCAUGUUCAUAUGCUCGAUUAUUAGAUAUCACUCUUAGUAUAUGGUUAACUUCCCAAUUUCUUAGCAAUUAUGAUGGAUUAACCUGUAAAUUCCUAGGAAAAACUGGUUAAGUAAAAUCUGAAAACAAUUAAGAAGGGUAUAAGUGUUUAACUAUGGUCGGGUGAGGUUAAAGAAAUAAGAGUUAAGAAAGGUGUCAAAAACUUUAAAAUAUUGGGAAGAAGAGAUGAACAGAGUGGAUUAAAAAAAAGAGUAGUAAAGGGGUAAUCUCAGUUCAUAAUUUAGUUAAUAUGGUAACUAUACAAGUCUAUAGAAUAAGAGAGAGAGAGUACCGAGUAGGAUUUUCACAACAUAAGAGUUUAAUCGCAAAAAAUAAUUUUAUUGUUAAUGUCCAAUAAUCGUAAUAACUAUACAAAUCGAGAAAGCUUUGCUAGGAGCCUUACUCAAAGUUUGGAAGAAUUUAUAUUAGACAUAGAAACCGGAUUUUAUUCGAUAGUAGAUUUGGCCGUACAUUUUAUAUAUCUACAAUACAAUAGUAGUAUCUGUUCAGAUAGAUAUAGAAAACAACUGCAUUUGAUAUAGUUAAUAUUAUCAUACCAUCAGUCAUAUCAUCUAUACCAUCUAAGAAGACGAUUUUAAUUUUUUAACUCUAACUUUUUAGGCAACUUUAACUGACUUUAACUUUUUAACCCCUUCUUAUAUAUAUAUAUAUAACAGUAUCAAGGUGGUUAAACUUAUGAGGUGUAACACAUUCAAUAUGGAGGCUUUUCCAUUCAUCUGCUCAAAUAGUUCAAGAGCAUCAGCCAAACCAAGGAAAAGCUCAUUGGUCGUCUCUUUGGUUCUUCAGAAUCAUUUGAGAGUUGCAAAAUAAAAUUCAGGGAAGUUGGAGAAGAGGGAUGUCUUUUAUUUAAUUUAUGUAAAAAGAGGAGGGUAUCGCCGUUCUCUAUUUUUCAGAGAAAAAGGUCCACCUUUUUGAGAAGGUUCAAUCUCUUUCUUUUUAUGUGGGAUCCGAUCUUUUUUAGUGAAGAAAAAAGGGAAAGCUGCGCUAGGUCUAGAAAAAUGGGGAAGGGAUCCCAUUUUUAGGUCUAGGAACUAGGUUUUAAUUAAAGGGGAUGGGUUUUGGGUCGGUUCGGGUCGGGUCAGGCGGGUUUGGGGCUGUUUUGGGGGAAUUUGGGAUUGGACUAGUUUAGAAAGAAAUGGCCAAUUCGGCCAAAAACCCUUUUUAAAAUUUUUUUAAAGACUAAUUAAUUUAAAUAAACCCUAAACUAAGUCCUAAAUUAUCUUUAUUUGCAAAAUUAAACUAAUUAUCCAUUUGUAUUAAUUAUAAAAAUUACUUAAUCCUAAAUUAAAAGAGAAAAAUCAAUAAUCUAAAAAUUAAAAGGUAAAAAAUGUAAAAUGAGCCAUUUUUUUGAUUUUCAACUUUAAUAAAAUAAAUAAUUAACUAAAUAAUCCUAAAAUUAUAAAAAUAAAAAUCUAAAUACAAUGCAUGGUAUUUUUUUGAUUUUAAUAAAAAUUAAACGCGCACAAAAAUAUAAACAAUUAAUAAAAUUCUACAAAAAUUCCUAAAAAUAUCAAAUAAUUAAGUAAAAUCUAUUUUCUUGGGUUUUGUUUAGGAGUAGUUCGUAGAGGACAAAAAUCACAUGCUCACAACGACCAAUCAUCAUACUCCUACCAUAUAUACUGGUAUCCGAGCCCGAAGGUAGUACCAUGACAUUUCAGCAGUAUCGGUUUGGUAAUACCGUGGAGAUUCUUCCCAAGCCCUUUGUCGGGUUCAUACCUAGACCAUGCCAGUAUGCUUUCUAUUUUGCUACUCUAUCAUUUGCCUUUCUCAACGGCAUUGACACGUUCGAUGUGAUGAUAGGUUUCCCCUCCUGCCGUACUUCUGUUUCCGAUAACCGGGAUGGUUUGACUGGUGUAAAUAGGGUUACUCCCGUCUCUGUGAAUAAUCACCUCCUGAUAGAUCCAUUCAAAUUUCAUGACUUGAUAUAGUGUGGAAGCCACAGCCCCAGCUGCAUGUAUCCAUGGUUGGCCCAACAGAAGAUUGUAUAAGGCUGAUAUGUCGAGUACCUGGAAUUCCACGUCGAACCAAGUUGGCCCCAUCUGCAGACAAAGAUUAAUUUCUCCAAUCGUGGCCCUUUGAGACCCAUCGAAGGCUUUCACGUUCAUGCUUCCUGCCCGUAUUUCAUGGAAACCUUUGCCCAAUCUUUUCAGAGUAUUCAAUGGACAAAUAUUGAGGCUUGAACCUCCAUCAAUCAAGACCCUGACAAUGAAUUUGUCUUCAAAUUGCACUGUGAUAUGCAAUGCUCGGUUGUGAUUCAACCCUCCAGGUGGUAGCUCAUCCUCGUGGAAGAUUAUUUUAUGACUUUCCAGCAUUUUCCCUACCAUGUUGGCCAUCUCUCCACAGAUGAUAUUGUUGGGAACGUAAGCUUCAGUCAACACAUUCAUCAAAGCAUUCUUGUGCGCCUCUGAAUUUUGCAAUAGUGAUAGUAUGGAUAUCUGAGUUGUAGUUUUGUUUAAAUGAUCGAUGACGGAGUAUUACCUUGCUUGUACUUUCCUCCAUAGGUCAUCUGGUCCUAUUUCAAUGACAGGCUGCUUGGCAGUUGCAUCCUUACUUGGUCCUCCCAAGUGUUUAGGUGUAUAGAUUUUUUCGGUCCUAGUCAUUCCUUGUGCAGCAUCAGAUUCCUCCAUUUUUGACUUUCUUUUUCACCUAACUUCGCAACGUAAUCCCAGGGUAUUGCUUUUAAAUUGAAAGGAGGUGUGGUUGAUACUAUCACUGUGAAAGGUGUGGCCACUUCCACUUUAAAUGGAAUAGGGGUGGCUGCAGGUGGAGCUACCUCAACCUCAAAUGGAACCGAUGCAGCUACCCCAACAUCGAUUGGUAACUGAGUCUGUACUACAAUAGGAGUAAGUGUGACUGCAAGUUUAAAGUCAUCACCUUCUCAAAUAAUCCCGAUUGACCCCUCAGGAUCCCAUUCCUCAUCCAUCUCUAUCACAUGUAUCCCGCCACCCAUAUGAUCCAAGAGAGGAUUGUUGCGGACAUUGGGUAUAGCUUCUUUCGCCUAUAUGACCUUGAUGUCAAUUAGUGUUUGGAUUUUAUCUUUCAAUGUCCGGCACUCAUCAAUGGUGUGCCCCUUCAUACCGGAAUGGUAUGCACAGGUUUUUUUGGGUUUACCCAUUGGGACGGGUUUUCUAUGGCCACAGCGGGAAUGGGAGUGACGUAACCAGCAACCUUCAACCUUUCAUACAGUCGGUCGAUGGGCUUAGCAAUAGUGGUGUAUUGUCUGGGUAGUUUGCGGUCAAAAUUGGGUCAAAAUUAGGUCAUGGUAUUGGAUAAUUUUGGUGAGUUGGAGGUGACUGGAAAUGAGAUGGUUGGGAAUUAUAGGUAUGAUAGACAGUGGCUAGUUGGGAAUAUCUGGGAGAUGAGGGUUGAUAUGUAGUUGGUGGUGCUUGGUAUGUGGGUGGGGGUGUUUGAUAUGUGAGUGGAGGUAUUUGAUAUGUGAGUGGAGAUUUUGGGCCCUGAGCCACCAUUACUGCCCCAACAUCUUUCUUCUUUGAUAUGCUGCCUGAUUGUAAUGCCUUGUUUGUGGCCUGUAAUGCCUCAAAGUUCGUUACCAUCUUGCUUUUGAUACCUUCUUCGAUUAUUUCCCCAAGUUUGAUGAUAUCAGAGAAUUUAUGGGUUUCAAUAACCAUCAACCUUUCAUAGUAUUACGGAUCCUAUGCUCUAACGAAAAAUUUGUUCAUCUGUUCCUCAUCCAAAGAUGGCCUGACUUUGGCUACUUCCAACCUCCAACGAGUAGCAUACUCGCAGAAAGUCUCGGUGGGCUUAUUCUUAAGGUUCUGAAUGUAGAAAACAUCUGGCGCAUUUUCUGUGUUGAACCUGAAUCGGUCCAUGAAAUCAGACGCCAUACUCACCCAGUUAGACCAUUUCAUAGGAUCUUGGCUGAUGUAACAAGACAUGGCAUCUCCCGUAAGACUCCUCAUGAAAAGCUUCAUCUGGAUCUUUUCAUCCUUUCCGACCCCGACGAGUUUGUCACAAUAGGUCCUUAGAUGAACCCUAGGAUCACCUAUACCAUCAAACAUCUCGAACUUGGGAGGUUUGUAACCCUCUAGCAGUUAUAAUCCAGCUGUAUGCACAAGUAUUCAUAGUUCAAACUUUCUAUCCCUUUGCCUCCUUCGACACCCUGAACUCGACUUGUCAAUUUCUUGAAUUCCUCAGCCAUGUUCUUGAUGAGCAUGUCCUUCUCAGCGGAUUCUGGUGUAUAGGAGGUUAGUUGGAUAGAGUGAGGUACAAUUUCCACGUAUAUAGGGUUAUUUUGGUGAAUUCCAGGAGCCUGGGUGUAGUGGUGGUCAUUGGUUGAGUUUUGAGGAUCGGGAAUGGGAUGUGGUGUGUUCUGAGGAGUGUGAUAAAUGGUGGUUGGUGGGUACUGAAUUGGUUGAUGAUGGUGUUGUGGUGGAGUUGGUAUUGGUAAGGGAUUGAAAUUUUGAGGUAGAGUUGCAUAUUGAUGCGGUGCAUGAGGGCUUUGUGGAUGUUGGUUCAGUGUGUUUUGGGAGGUGCUGGGUUUUUGGUGUUUUGUUGGUUGAUAUCAGGGACAUUCAGGGUGAGGGUUAGGUUUGCCAAGUUGCGGACCUGCUCAAGUUCUCCCUGUAGUUCCAGUAUCUUUUGUUCUAACCUCAAAACUAAAUCAUUUGGUGCCGGAGUGCUCCGUCUGUCUGAAGUUUCUGCAUUUUCUAUAUUUUCUUUUCGAAUACCACUUAAGUCGUCCAUUUUAGCUUUCCAUUUACUCUUUGUAUUACUUGGAGGAGGAGGAGGUGGAGGGCCUCUAGAUCUGGUGUGAUACGCUGAUGAUGCCAGUAUGUGCCAACCAACCUUGGGGGAUGGGAAUAAAGAAUAAAGAAAAACAAAGGUAAACAAGUCAGUAAGGGUUCUGAAAUGUUUGCAGUAUUUAAACAGAUAUUGCGGGAAUGUAAAUUUUCAUCCUAAUUUGGGAGCCUCGUUGUGCCCGAGGUAGGCCUAUCAACAAAUAAAUUUGGAGAAAUUCAAUACCAAUAAUUGCCUCAUUUCAUUAAUGUAAAAGUAAACGACCCAAAACGAUACUAAAUAAGAUAAUGUUGCUAAUGACACUUGGCCUUAUUACAUUUAAAUGGAAAGCAAGUAAAUCUAAUCUACUUGGUCCCAGAAGUACCCUCUCUAGACCGGAUGUUGUUGUCAAUCAACUCUCCCAGCUCGCGUAGGUUCAGCAGUAGGAAUUCCCUUGCCAAAUGCCUUCCUUCAUUUCCUUCAGCGUUCUGGCAGUCGGUGACCCUCUUCCUUAUCUUCCCUUCCAAUUCCAUUAAACUGUACUCCAGAUAUUCCAGCCUCUUGCUAGAUUUAACAGCUCUUUCUUUCCACUCGUUAAUCAUUUCCAUAUCGGCCUUAUGCUGCGCCACAUGCUCAACUCCAGACUCUCGAACUCUUUUGCGCAGCUUGUUGUACUUCACCUCUACUUUGGCAAACUCAUCUAUGACCUUGUUUCUUGGACCAUUCCUUGGCUCAAAGACUCUUGAUAGGUUAUCAUCCAACCAUGAGGGGUAAAGUAUGAAUGGCCUGCAUGAUAUUGGUCCGGCUCGAUAUUAUCCUUCUCCACAAUAAUCUUUAAAGUCCACAUAUGUUGUGCUUCAUUCUUGUAUGGGAUGGCAUCACCCUAGAAAUCAGCUAUGAAGUGACUCGUCUUAGUAACCCCGGUAUGACUUGUCUUCUGCAUGCCUGUCUCAUAACCCUGAGAGGAGCAUAAUGGUAUAUCCCUCUUAACCCAAUCAACACCAAAUGCGGGACAUCUCUGGAUCUUAUGAUGAACUCGUCGGUGGGGAACCACUCGAACAUCCACUGAACCUGGUCCUCAGUCAACUUGUUGAAAAACUGCACCCAUCCUACAACAUCCUUAGGUUGAGCAAACAUGUCUGGAAUGUAGGUCAUUCUCUUAGGGUGAUGGAAGGCUAUGUGGUCAUUCCACGGUCUUCGUGGAAACUCUUGGCGGUAUUGACCCCUUUGGAGAUAUUCUAACAGCCAGACUUGUAACAACAAAUUGCAACUCUCAAAGAAUCUAGAUCCCUUCUAACAGUGUUCCAAAGCCCGAUACAUAUCCGCAAUGAUCAUAGGGACAAUAGUAUAUGUCUGCCCCUCGAUCCUAUCCAUCAGAGUUUUGGCCACCAUGGCCAGCCUAGUAUGAAUUCUAUCCCUUGGAUUGGGAAUACCAGCAUGCCCAAGAAGCACACAAUGAACACGAAGACAUUAUGAUGAACCCAGCCUAAGGAGGUGAUUGAGAAUUCAUCAUAAAAAAUACGGUAAGAGCUAGUGUGACUGGAUCUUUCAUAGAUGAAGUCAAAAGGUACGUAGGAAUUUUUUAGGCACCCCAAAUCAUCAUUUUUCUUCAGCCCCAUCAUCUUAAGGAACCCUCUGGUGGUGCAAUUUUCAUGUGCUAACAGACCAGGGCUAUCCCAAGGGAGCCCAGCAAAUCCUCCUAUUUCUUCUAGGAGGGGAGUCAUCUCUAUAUCCCCAAAAUAGAACACAGCCCGUUCCUUAGCCCAAAACAGAGUGGCAACAUCGAUCAUCAUUUUGCUCGGUUGAAGAUCUAAUAGUGAUGGCAAAUUCCUGAAGACUCUUUUCAUAUGAUUUUCGUCGCUUGAGUGAAGGUCCCUCCACCAAUCUAUCAAAAGUGGAGGUAUGCUAUCGACCAUACCGAAUCUGGGGACUUCGUGCCUCAUUUUCUGCAAAAUAAGAGAUAGUUAGGCCCUUUCCCCCUCCAGGUUCAUCUAUUUAUACAGUAAUGAUUAGCAUAUUGGCACUUAUUUCUCCAAAUUAAUGCACACAAUUGUGAUUACGUCCGUUGGAAUUGUGGAAAACCCGAUGGACUUUUGGACGAGGCUUCUCUUAAAGGGUUAUUAUGCAGACAACAUAUUAACCCAGCUAAGUUUGACCAUGAUGCAUGCAUAAUCAGAGUAAGGAUGCUAUAGAGGUCUAGACUAGGACCCUCAAGCAGACAACAUGAGGGGGAAAGGUGCGGAACCAUCGAACGCACCGUUGAUCGACUAGUUUUACCACAAAUACACCUUUCCGAAUUUAAAAGGGUGAUAUAUUGGAAUAACACAAACACUCAUCAAGCGUUGCUCUGGGAUUGAUUACGCACGAGUGGAAUAUGAUGUUGAGCAUGAUUUAUGCAACAAUAAAUAACAUGUUGUCAAGUAUUUGCACGUAAAAAAUGAUAAAUGUAGUAUUUAAAUAAUUGAAAGACAGUUACGGAAAAAGAAAAUAAAGAAACAAGUCAGUUUCAGGAAAAUAAAGAAAUCAUAAAUAAGCAGUUAAGUCCAAAUAAAGGGGAAAGGGUACACGGGAUAAAGCAUGCUUAGACUAAUUCACAAAAAUAAGUUAAGAGCCUAAAAUAUCCCCAGCAGAGUAGCCAUGCUAUCGCGCCCCUUUUUCCUCGCGGAGUCUGGGUUUCAACAUUCAUGGGGGAUUGACUCGUUUCCUUUUGGGAAUUGGGUAUUUGAAGAGUCGCCACCUAACGGAUUAAGGUAUGUAAGGGAACCUAUAGCAAUUAACUCAUAUAACUAGUUUGCAUCACCAGAGAUCGGGGAAAGGGCUCGAAAUGACCUUGAGGGGAAGGUGUUAGGCACCCCUCGCGGUCCACAAUGGUGGGUCCCGACCGAACAUAAACUAUUCAAAUUAGUCAAUUAACAAGUAAGCACGUAUUUGCAAAUAAAAUAGUUUUCCCAAUCUAAAUGCAUAUAUGAUAAAGGAAGUUCAGAUAAUGAAAGUAAAAGAGGUUUGGAUAGCUUACACAUGUAUAUGUAAAGAAAAAGGGAAGUUUAGAUAAUUUAAGCACUUACAGGAAUUGGGAAAGGGAAGUCCUAAGUUGAUUAGCCUACAGGAUCAAUCUGUGCAAUGCCCGAUAAUCCUCCUCAACUAGAAGGGCUACACGUGAUAUUAACGCGCAGGUCAUCAUAUCCUUUUACUACCCAUUAUCCCCCCCCCCCCACCACUUAUUAGUUACAUAAGAGAGUUUGAUUAACGACCUCUAAGCGUGCUGCUACCCGUCCCUUCCUUAUGGCCCCGGAGGAAUUUAAGGCCUCUAGACUUGGGCAGUUCUAGACAAUCCUAAGGUGUUUAAAAGGGAAAAGUCUAGGCGACAACGAAUAACAUAUAGGAUUGUCAAUUAAGGAAGAAGAUAAAAGGCUCAUGUUUACCUCCAUAUAUACAUAGGCAAAUAAACAACACGUCUCACACAGCUGAUUUUGAAGAAGUUCAGAUAACCUAGGAACAUGACAUCUAGAUGAAUGUUACAGAUAAAGGGUAUGCAGGGUUUGUUUUAAGGGAGGUGGCAAAAUCUUAACUAGUUUUGCCUACUGGUUUUAUAGCCUGUGAAAAUAAGCAGUUUAAAUACGAUCCGAACACAGUUUCUCUUUUUUUUACAAGGAGGUUAGUUACCUAAGGCUUGCCUAGGCAUGGGAUUCUAUAUAAUCACAGUUGUAGAAACUGUUUAAACAGUUUGAGAUUAUUCAACCUAUAGGCAUGCUGGACCUAGGUGAUACAGACUAUAACAGGCGAUUUAUCAAUUGUGUUUAGAGACAUGAUACUUAUACAUGAGUCUGUUUUAAACUUGUUCACGGACAACUAUUAUUUAAUCGAAAUAGACGUGGUUCAAACAGAUGCAAAUAGAGUUCCUAAGAACAUGGUAUCUAAUGUAUACAAGAAUGACAGUUUUAUUAAGAUUAUUUGAUAGCAAGAUGUUUAUGUGACAGUACUUGCGAAAAACCAAGAAUUGAGCAUGCAACAUACUGAAGUAGUAAACGUGAAGGUCCUAAAAACAGGUUAUCUAAUGCACAAGUUCAACAUUGUUUAAAUUUAAAUGAACACAUCAAUCCUAGAACAUGGCUUCUAAUGCAGAUUUGCAGGAUAUAAAACCUAUAGCAUGUUUUCUACCCAGUUUUACCCAUAGUAUUAUACAACUACCCUCCCGUUUCACUAGUUACCCCAAUAUCUGUUUACAAAUAGUUAUUAUAGACCAUAAUUGAAUAAAUUACAUAAAUGCAAUAUAAAUUAAGCUAUAGGGAGCCUGAUGCAGACCAAAGCAAACCUAGGGUACCAGGCCUUCAAUAGUCUCAAAUGCCAAGGAUUUCAUUGCCAAAUUUGUGUCCAGGUGUGUCAGAGUUUCCUAAGGACCUCAAGGAUCCUGGGCAGUGCUCAUACCCAGGCUUUUCUCAAAUAAAAACUGAUUAUGUGCAUUGUGAAAAAGCCAACCCUGAUAUGCCAGAGUUCAGAGAGACCUCAAGGAUCCCUAAGCAUUACACAUACCAGAAGGGCAGAACUUAAUAACCUAAGAGUAAGUGAGAGUGCUUGACAUAGUUCGAAAGACUUAGUGAAAAAUAGUUUAGGAGUGAAAAAGGUUUUUUUUAAAAUAGACCAAUUUUGAGAAAAUACUAGGAAUGAAAGCCAGUUUUUUAAAAGAAUACUAACAGCACUUGAAAACAGUUCAGAAGAGAGCAAAUUUAGUAGACAGCCAAUAAAUCAUAGAAGGUUCAGAUUCACAAGUACUAUAGCAGGCAGGUUUGCGCACAUGGGUGAAAGGGAUCAGGAACAUAGGAACCUCAUUGGGGUACAUGGAUAGGUUGCAAGGAGACAUGUGGACAAUAAUGUGCAUAGAUCACUAAAGAGCUUCAUAGCCUUAACAGAUUAAGCAGGAUAGUAGGCAAUUAAGACACGGGGAAAAGAUAUAGAGGAUAGAAUCAGACACACAAGUAGGAUCAACCAUAUUAAGCAACCAACAUGAUCACAUAGUUAAAGGAUUUAUCAUAAAUCAACAAACAGAUUGUUCAAACAUCAACUAGACAUGUGAAGUGUAGACAUGUUAGUAAUACAUUGAACAUGACAGAAUUUAGGCAUGCUAAACAAAGAAGUAACUAAAAGGAUAGGUCAAAUUCAUAAUCAAUGAGCUAAUGCAAGAAUAAAACACAUAGAGUUUGGGUUUUAGAUUUAACUAGAGACAUACCGGUUGAAGGAAAAAAUAAAAGAGUGCAAAAUAUAGAGCAAGUAUAGUCCAACUAUCUAGCCUUGGCUUUCAGCCAGCUAGACCCACAAUAGCACAAGUAGCACAAGCAACAAAGAAAAAGAGUAGUUUGAAUGUGUGUGUGUAUUAUGAGCUAAUAUCUAUCCAGAAGUGAGAAUAGAGGAGAGUAUAUAUAGUAGUUAGGAGCAAAACAGAGUAAGGUAAAGGAAAUCAAUCAGUCAGCAAUUAAGGAAGCUUACAGAAUCAAUUAUGCACAAAAUUAGAAUAGUCUCCCUUAAUUAAGUGCAGGACAACAUUUAAGGAAAGAAAAUCGAGUAAGACUUAAGUACAGAGUGGACAAUUAGGGGUAAAUAAGCAGGGGUUCAAUCAAGGAAACAAUCUUGAGGAAUCAGUAAGUAUCACAGUUAAUCAAAUAAGGUAAGAAACUGAAUAAGGUCGAAAAUAAAGGAAUAAUCAAGAAUAAGCCCCUAGGUAUUUUUACGGAGCAAAUCAGUGAAUCAGAAUCCAAAAUAGUACUGAUUUAAAGGAGAAUAAUAUAUGUUUCCACAAACACACAAAUAGGCUAAGUAUAAACACACAGAAUCAGUCGAGAAAUCAAGUCAGAAACCUUAAUAGAGUCAUACUAGGGUAAAAAUCACAAGACGUUUAAAUUAGACUAAGGAGAAAUCAUGAGAAUCAAAGCAUAGAACGAAAUAGUGCAUAGGUAACACGAUCAAGCUCAGAAUCAAAGAAAAAAUGUCAAAAUUGAGGUUUUAGCAUUAAUCAAUUAGGGCUAAGGCAAACUUAACAUAAAUCGACCAAAAGCACUCAAGAACAGAAGGUUAAACAUUCAAAGUCAGAAAACGUUUGGAGAAAAGGAUUUCCAGGAAACCCUAGCUUUAGAAAAAAUGGAAAAUCACUCGAAAAAUCAGAAGAUUUUUUAUGAAAAAACAUGUGAAAUAGGUCUGAUUCUUCUCAAAUAUGUACAUAUCUGAGAAGAUCAAAGACAAAAUUUAGGUUUUUCAGAAGUAAAUCAGAGAUAAGAACAUAUAUCUAGAAAAUCAUGGAUUCAUAUCAAAAUAAGAGAGGCUUCUUACUCAUGGUCGAGCAAAUGGCCUGAAACAGGCAAAGAAAUCAAAGGUGCAAACCAGACUGCCUAGGCCCAUUGAGAUCUUUUCAAGGAUCCAAGAAACUGAUGAACCAUAGCAAGUAGGAGGCCAAUAUAGGCCUGGGAUGACAGAGAAACAUCGUAGAACGGAGGGCUAAGCCGGUGACGGUGCCUAAAGAUUAGGGUUUAGAUAGAGAGCAUUUGAUAUAGAAGGGAACGGGUGACAGCGGGGUGUGGUGGAAAAUGAUUUAGGUUAGGAGGGGCCGUUUGGAGUUAAAAUUGGUAAGAAUCAAUGUGGGUCGUUGAUCUCAUAGAUCAACGACCAAGAUUAGAGAGGUUUGGGUCGGGUCUAAUUGCCUUUGGGCCUAGGUGAAUUGGGUUAGGGAUUUGGGCUGGUUUUUGGAUCCGAAAAUUAAGGAGAUUAAGAGGCUAUUUGUUAAAUACCCAAAUAUUUGAAUGAAAUUAUUUUUAUAAAAUAAUUAACAAUGAGAAAAAAAAUAUGCAUAGAAGUGCCUCAAAAUAAUUAUUCAAUAUUUUAAAAAUAUAAGGGACCAAUUUCUGGCAAAAUUAUGCAGUGAUGUGUACCUGGGCUAUAAUUGCAAAAUCGGUGCAAUUGUAAUCAAAAGGUGUAAAUCUGACCAUUUGUGAAAUAAUUAGAACUUAAUAAGGCCAUAAAUGAUAAUAUUAAAUCAAGAAAUGUUUUAAAAUCAUCUGUAAUGCAAUUUUGUAAUUAUUUAUACGAAUGAAAUAUUGAGAUAAAUUAAUUAAAAAAUACAAAAAUUAUGGAAAAAUACCUAUGGAUGCCAAUGCAUAGUUUUAAGGGUAUAUAUGCACUUCAAAAAUAUUAUAGAGAAAAAUUGGGUAUCAACAAAAGUGUCGAAGGUUGGCUCUUUGAUUGUAAUAUCUUUCGAUCCAUUGCUUUUAGCGGCCAACCGGACAAGGGCGUCCUCGCGCCUUUCGUCUAACAGUCCCAAGCUCGUAUUCAUGGACUCGUCGUUUGACUCUUUGGUCGCAUACCGGAAUGUGAGACUUGGUUCUCCUACAUCAACUGGUAAUAGGGCCUCGGCACCGUAAACCAACGAGAACGUGGUGACCCCAGUACUCGACUUUGAAGUCAUCUCAUACGCCCAUAGGACUUCGGGCAAGAUUUCCUUCCAUUUUCCUUUGGCGUCGGUCAACCUCUUUUUGAGGUGAGGAGUAUGGUUUUUUCGUGGACUCUGAUUUCCCGUUGCCACUAGGGUGAUUGGGCGUCGAUAGGAUCCUUUUGAUCUUAUGGUCUUCGAAAAACUUACUCACUUUGCUGCCGACGAACUGCUUCCCAUUGUCGUACACGAUCUCGGCUAGCAUCCCGAACCGGCAUAUUAUAUGGUCCCAGAUAAAAUCAAUGACCUCCUUCUCCCUGACUUUCUCAAACGCCUGGUCUUCAACCCAUUUGAAAAAUAGUCAGUCAUAAACAAUAUAAAUUAAGCCUUACCAUGUGCCCAAGGAAGGAGCAAGACGAUGUCCAUUCCCCAUUUCAUGAAUGGCCAGGGUGACAAGACCGAAUGUAGCAGCUCCCUGGUCUGAUGAAUCAUUGGACCAUGCCUUUGACAUUCGUCGUAUUUUUUUAUGAAAUCCUUCAUGUCCUUUUCCAUGUCGAUCAAGUAGUAGCUGCCUCUAAUUACUUUCUGAACUAAUGAUUAUGCGACCGAAUGGUUUUCGCAAGUGCCUUCAUGGACUUCUCUCAGAAACAUACUCAGUAUCUCCCGGUCCUAGGCAUGUUGCGAGUGGGCCAUCGAACAUUCUCCGGAACAUGGUAUCGUCUUCGGACAAGCUGAACUAGGUCGUCUUCGUAUCACGACCCAAAUCGAUGGGCCACAAAGGGCAACCGGUACUUUACUCAACCGAGUACCAAUGUAAUGUAUCUUUCUUAUUACAUCAUCAUAUAUACGUGACAUACGGGCCUAAUAGGCCAACAUGAUCUUUUAUAAACACGAAACAUAGGCCGACAAGGCCGCACAAUCUUUCACGUACAGGACAUAUGUCUACAAGCUUCUAAGAGUACAUAAAUGUCAUAAAGGUCGGUACAGAGUCCUACCAUACCAAACAAUACACGUCUAAAUCAUACUAACAAAACUCACAGCUCCGAAGCAAAUAGAGCGCACCAACAUCUUCCACUGAGCUGAUAGCCUACUUGGAGGGCUCUCAACCUGUCUAUCUGGACCUGUGGGCAUGAAAUGCAGUGUCCCCAGGCAAAAGGGAUGUCAGUACGAAUAAUGUACCGAGUAUGUAAGGCACAUAAAUAAAUACAUAAGAGACAUGAAAGAAAUAUAAAGUACAUGACUCAACCUCUAAGUCUGAAUAACUUUGUAAAUCAUAAAUUACUUUUAGCGUCAUGCAUAUGUGUACGAAUGUCAUGUCGUGCAUAGGUAUAUGUUUCAUAACAUCAUCAGCCUCUGANNNNNNNNNNNNNNNNNNNNNNNNNAUAUAUAUAUAACGCCGUUUAAAUUGUAUUUUAGCCAUUGUGGGCAACAUCAUCAUCAUAUACCAGCUGAUUAGGUGAUGGUGCGUAUAUAACGGUGUAACCUUUUCUCAUAUCCCAUAUACAUAUAUUUACAUAUAUACGCGUAUAUAAUGCCAUCUGGUCAUGGGUCAACACACAUAUAUGAAAUGCAUGAAAAAUACGUAAUAAUCUCAAUAUUCCUUCCAGAUAAUUUUUUUUCCAACUGCGUAUUAUUCUGAGACCCACGAGCAGAAUUUUUCAUGGGGAAUCAAGAAUAUAGACACCCCUACUAUUUCUAUGAAUAGAGUAAUUUAUGGAAACUAUGAGUUUGCUCGUUUCUUCUAUAUCAUAUGGACCAUACUAAAAGAAAUAAGGGAGGGUCUUAACAUACCUGGAGUAGGGAAAAAUCCGUAUGAUAUUCUUGGAAAGGUUGCACCGUACUUUCUUAGGAUCACAAAAUCUCGCGUUGCUAAUGUGCUAAGAAAUUUCGUCGGAAUUUCUUUGUUGCGAGACUUUUGUUAAAAGCUUGUUGGAUGGAGUUGUAACAUCUGGUUUGGACAUGUCUUGAAAUUGUAUUAGGAAGAAAUCAGAUUUGCAAUGUCUAUGAAAAAAAACUUGUAAGAAUUGCUCAUGUUAGUACUUUAGUAUAUUAAAUGUAAGAUUGAAGUGUUUCUUUAUAAAGAAACGUAUUGAAAGUUGAUGACAAUGGCUAACGCCCCCAUGCCCUCUUCUGAUUGUAGUCUUUUAUAUGGAAAAGCUUUGAAUUGAAAUAAAUGUGUAACUAUCACAUAAUUGCCACCUAAUCAAAUUUGUUCAAGAGUCACUCUUUUAAUAUGUGGAAUGCUGUCAUGUUUUGGGUUAAUCUUAUCCAAUAUAUCCCCAAUUAAUUAGGUAAUGUUUCGUUAUCAGGUAAUUAACUAAUUACCCGUAAAAUUAAGAAUUAUUCCUAUUUACUUAAAAUAUUAUUCACUUUUCACAUACCCUAUACACCUUACUAUUAUGGUUAUGUGGUACCUUGUAUGGUACUAGUCCAUAAAUACCGGGUAUUUUAGAUCGGGCCGUAUUUUACCCCAAAAUGACAAACUUGGACAAAAUUUAUUUUCUUUGAAUUGAUCCCCCUUUCACCUUCAUGAAUUUACUAAUUACUUGUGAAAUAGCAUAAUCCUUAUAAUAUCCAAAUACCUCUUACUUGGACUGAUGUCAAUUACAUUACAACAAAUUCAACGUACAAUACUUCAGGGUGCAGCAUCGUCAUAACUUAAUACUGCGAAGCGUGACAUCACCGUAAUGUAAUACUACAAGGCAUAACAUCCUCAUAAUAUAAUACUGCAGGGCGUAACAUCAUCGUAAUAUAUUACUGCAGAGCAUAACAUCGUCGUAAUAUAAUAUUGCGGAACAUGAUAUCGACGUAAUAUUGCGGGGCGUAACAUCAUUCCCCCCUUUGGAACAUUCGUCCUCGAAUGUUGACCAAUGGUCUUAUCAUUUUCAUACUUAUAUCUUCCGAAUACUUUAGAACUUCCCUUGCCAUCUAGGUGACUGUUUUGUGA
rnacentral:lncRNA from 1 species